AUGUUUGUGCAAAACUCUGUCAGAACAUUACACAGGAAUAGGCAAAACGCUUUGUUGUUCAAACUCGACAUCGCCAGAGCUUUUGAUUCCAUCUCUUGGGAUUAUUUGUUAGAGCUACUGCAGAAGCUCGGCUUCAGCACUCGAUGGCGCGGAUGGGUUGCAAUUUUGCUGUCAACAUCUUCCUCAGCCUACCUUCUAAAUGGAACGACCGGAGAGCAAUUCUUCCAUAGGAGAGGCCUGCGUCAGGGUGACCCACUCUCCCCACUAUUGUUCAUAUUGGCGAUUGACCCAUUGCACAGACUGCUGGAAACUGCUGCUGAAGAUGGAGCGUUGGCACCCUUACCAGGGAAGCUCGCGGUGCUUCGGGUCAGUCUAUGUGCGGAUGAUGCUGUGAUCUUUGCAAACCCGGUGAAAUCGGAGGUGGACUCACUACUGCAUCUCUUGGAGAUGUUCGGUGAAGAGACACGACUGAGGAUAAACCACGGAAAGUCCACGGUGGCCGCCAUCUGGUGUGAUCAGUUAAACCUCACGGAGAUCUUGCAAAAUUUUGGAGUAAAUCAAGCUACCUUCCCACUCAAGUAUCUAGGCCUUCCGGUCAGUUUAGCGCGACUGCGGAUGGUGCAGUUGUAG
rnacentral:rRNA from 1 species